rnacentral:rRNA from 1 species
GAUGAACGCUGGCGGCGUGCCUAAUACAUGCAAGUCGAGCGAACGGACGAGAAGCUUGCUUCUCUGAUGUUAGCGGCGGACGGGUGAGUAACACGUGGAUAACCUACCUAUAAGACUGGGAUAACUUCGGGAAACCGUAGCUAAUACCGGAUAAUAUUUUGAACCGCAUGGUUCAAAAGUGAAAGACGGUCUUGCUGUCACUUAUAGAUGGAUCCGCGCUGCAUUAGCUAGUUGGUAAGGUAACGGCUUACCAAGGCAACGAUGCAUAGCCGACCUGAGAGGGGGUUCGGCCACACUGGAACUGAGACCGGGGCCAGACCCCUACGGGAGGCAGGAGGAGGGAAUUUUCCGAAAUGGGCGAAAGCCGGACGGAGCAACGCGGGGUGGGGUAGGAAGGUCUGCGGAUCGUAAAACUUUGUUAUUAGGGAAGAACAAAUGUGUAAGUAACUGUGCAAAUCUGGACGGUACCAAAUAAGAAAGCCCCGGCUAACUACGG